rnacentral:rRNA from 1 species
GAGUUGAUCAUGGCUCAGGACGAACGCUGGCGGCACGCCUAACACAUGUAAGUCGAACGGAGAUACAUGAGCUUGCUUUUGUAUCUUAGUGGCGGACGGGUGAGUAACACGUGAGCAACCUGCCUCUGAGAGAGGGAUACGCUUCUGGAAACGGAUGGUAAUACCUCAUAAUAUAGCUAGACCGCAUGAUCUGGUUAUCAAAGAUUUAUCACUCAGAGAUGGGCUCGCGUCUGAUUAGCUAGUUGGUGAGGUAACGGCUCACCAAGGCGACGAUCAGUAGCCGGACUGAGAGGUUGAACGGCCACAUUGGGACUGAGACACGGCCCAGACUCCUACGGGAGGCAGCAGUGAGGGAUAUUGCACAAUGGGGGAAACCCUUGAUGCAGCGAUGCCGCGUGGAGGAAGAAGGUUUUCGGAUUGUAAACUCCUGUUUCGAGGGACGAUAAUGACGGUACCUCGGGAGGAAGCUCCGGCUAACUACGUGCCAGCCGCCGC